AUUGAACGCUGGCGGCAGGCCUAACACAUGCAAGUCGAACGAGUGGCGGACGGGUGAGUAAUGUCUGGGAAACUGCCCGAUGGAGGGGGAUAAAUACUGGAAACGGUAGCUAAUAACGCAUACCAUCGGAUGUGCCCAGAUGGGAGUAGCUAGUAGGUGGGGUAACGGCUCACCUAGGAGACGAUCCCUAGGUGGUCGGAGAGGAUGACCAGCCAAAGUGGAACUGAGAAACGGGACAGACUCCUACGGGAGGCAGCAGUGGGGAAUAUGGCACAAUGGGCGCAAGCCUGAUGCAGCCAUGCCGCGUGGAGGAAGAAGGACGUCGGGUUGUAAAGUACUUUCAGCGUGGAGUCGUUACUCGCAGAAGAAGCACCGGCUAACUACGUGCCAGCAGCCGCGGUAAUUC
rnacentral:rRNA from 1 species